rnacentral:rRNA from 1 species
AUAUUAGUAAGCGGAGGAAAAGAAACUAACAAGGAUUCCCCUAGUAACGGCGAGUGAACAGGGAUCAGCUCAAACCGAAAAUCGUGGCGGUUUCCGCUACGAAUUGUGGUCUACAGAGGCGAUGUCAGCGAUGACCAUGGCUAAAGUCCGUUGGAAUACGGCUGCAUAGAGGGUGAGACUCCCGUCUUGAGCUAUGAGUUUGUCGCGUACGACUUGUCUUCAAAGAGUCGGGUUGCUUGGGAACGCAGCCUUAAACGGGUGGUAAAUUCCAUCUAAAGCUAAAUAUAUGUGAGAGACCGAUAGCGCACAAGUA